rnacentral:tRNA from 1 species
GCUUCUAUAGUGUAGUUCGGUCAAGCAUGCGAGGCCCUCACCCUUGUGACUCGGGUUCGAAUCCCGAUAGAAGCA